rnacentral:rRNA from 1 species
CCUACGGGUGGCUGCAGUGGGGAAUAUUGGGCAAUGGGCGCAAGCCUGACCCAGCAACGCCGCGUGAAGGAAGAAGGCUCUCGGGUUGUAAACUUCUUUUCUGAGGGACGAAGAAUGUGACGGUACUUCAGGUAUAAGCCUCGGCUAACUAUGUGCCAGCAGCCGCGGUAAUCCGGAGGUUGCAAGCGUUAUCCGGAUUUAUUGGGUGUAAAGGGUGUGUAGGGGGGAAGGAAAGUCAGAUGUGAAAUCUCGGGGCUCAACCCUGAGGCUGCAUUUGACACUGUUUUUCUUGAGUUCUGUAGAGGCAAGCGGAAUUCGGGGUGUAGCGGUGAAAUGCGUAGAUAUACGGAGGAACACCAGUGGCGAAGGCGGAUUGCUGGACAGUAACUGACGCUGAGGCGCGAAAGCGUGGGGAGCAAACAGGAUUAGAUACCCGUGUAGUC